GGGUUGUGAGGUUAAGCGACUAAGCGUACACGGUGGAUGCCCUGGCAGUCAGAGGCGAUGAAGGACGUGCUAAUCUGCGAAAAGCGUCGGUAAGGUGAUAUGAACCGUUACAGCCGGCGAUGUCCGAAUGGGGAAACCCAGUGCAAUUCGUUGCACUAUCGUUAACUGAAUACAUAGGUUAACGAGGCGAACCGGGGGAACUGAAACAUCUAAGUACCCCGAGGAAAAGAAAUCAACCGAGAUUCCCCCAGUAGCGGCGAGCGAACGGGGAGCAGCCCAGAGUCUGAAUCAGCUUGUGUGUUAGUGGAACGGUCUGGAAAGUCCGACGGUACAGGGUGAUAGUCCCGUACACCAAAAUGCACAGGUUGUGAACUCGAAGAGUAGGGCGGGACACGUGGUAUCCUGUCUGAAUAUGGGGGGACCAUCCUCCAAGGCUAAAUACUCCUGACUGACCGAUAGUGAACCAGUACCGUGAGGGAAAGGCGAAAAGAACCCCGGCGAGGGGAGUGAAAAAGAACCUGAAACCGUGUACGUACAAGCAGUGGGAGCACCUUCGGGUGUGACUGCGUACCUUUUGUAUAAUGGGUCAGCGACUUAUAUUCUGUAGCAAGGUUAACCGUAUAGGGGAGCCGCAGGGAAACCGAGUCUUAACUGGGCGUUAAGUUGCAGGGUAUAGACCCGAAACCCGGUGAUCUAGCCAUGGGCAGGUUGAAGGUUGGGUAACACUAACUGGAGGACCGAACCGACUAAUGUUGAAAAAUUAGCGGAUGACUUGUGGCUGGGGGUGAAAGGCCAAUCAAACCGGGAGAUAGCUGGUUCUCCCCGAAAGCUAUUUAGGUAGCGCCUCGUGAAUUCAUCUUCGGGGGUAGAGCACUGUUUCGGCUAGGGGGUCAUCCCGACUUACCAACCCGAUGCAAACUACGAAUACCGAAGAAUGUUAUCACGGGAGACACACGGCGGGUGCUAACGUCCGUCGUGAAGAGGGAAACAACCCAGACCGCCAGCUAAGGUCCCAAAGUCAUGGUUAAGUGGGAAACGAUGUGGGAAGGCACAGACAGCCAGGAUGUUGGCUUAGAAGCAGCCAUCAUUUAAAGAAAGCGUAAUAGCUCACUGGUCGAGUCGGCCUGCGCGGAAGAUGUAACGGGGCUAAACCAUGCACCGAAGCUGCGGCAGCGACGCUCAGGCGUUGUUGGGUAGGGGAGCGUUCUGUAAGCCUGCGAAGGUGACCUGUGAGGGCUGCUGGAGGUAUCAGAAGUGCGAAUGCUGACAUAAGUAACGAUAAAGCGGGUGAAAAGCCCGCUCGCCGGAAGACCAAGGGUUCCUGUCCAACGUUAAUCGGGGCAGGGUGAGUCGACCCCUAAGGCGAGGCCGAAAGGCGUAGUCGAUGGGAAACAGGUUAAUAUUCCUGUACUUGGUGUUACUGCGAAGGGGGGACGGAGAAGGCUAUGUUAGCCGGGCGACGGUUGUCCCGGUUUAAGCAUGUAGGCUGGUUAUCCAGGCAAAUCCGGAUAAUCAAGGCUGAGGUGUGAUGACGAGGCACUACGGUGCUGAAGUAACAAAUGCCCUGCUUCCAGGAAAAGCCUCUAAGCAUCAGGUAACAUCAAAUCGUACCCCAAACCGACACAGGUGGUCAGGUAGAGAAUACCAAGGCGCUUGAGAGAACUCGGGUGAAGGAACUAGGCAAAAUGGUGCCGUAACUUCGGGAGAAGGCACGCUGGUGUGUAGGUGAAGUCCCUGCGGAUGGAGCUGAGACCAGUCGAAGAUACCAGCUGGCUGCAACUGUUUAUUAAAAACACAGCACUGUGCAAACACGAAAGUGGACGUAUACGGUGUGACGCCUGCCCGGUGCCGGAAGGUUAAUUGAUGGGGUUAUCCGUAAGGAGAAGCUCUUGAUCGAAGCCCCGGUAAACGGCGGCCGUAACUAUAACGGUCCUAAGGUAGCGAAAUUCCUUGUCGGGUAAGUUCCGACCUGCACGAAUGGCGUAAUGAUGGCCAGGCUGUCUCCACCCGAGACUCAGUGAAAUUGAACUCGCUGUGAAGAUGCAGUGUACCCGCGGCAAGACGGAAAGACCCCGUGAACCUUUACUAUAGCUUGACACUGAACAUUGAGCCUUGAUGUGUAGGAUAGGUGGGAGGCUUUGAAGCGUGGACGCCAGUCUGCGUGGAGCCAACCUUGAAAUACCACCCUUUAAUGUUUGAUGUUCUAACGUGGGCCCCUAAUCGGGGUUGCGGACAGUGUCUGGUGGGUAGUUUGACUGGGGCGGUCUCCUCCCAAAGCGUAACGGAGGAGCACGAAGGUUAGCUAAUCCUGGUCGGACAUCAGGAGGUUAGUGCAAUGGCAUAAGCUAGCUUGACUGCGAGCGUGACGGCGCGAGCAGGUGCGAAAGCAGGUCAUAGUGAUCCGGUGGUUCUGAAUGGAAGGGCCAUCGCUCAACGGAUAAAAGGUACUCCGGGGAUAACAGGCUGAUACCGCCCAAGAGUUCAUAUCGACGGCGGUGUUUGGCACCUCGAUGUCGGCUCAUCACAUCCUGGGGCUGAAGUAGGUCCCAAGGGUAUGGCUGUUCGCCAUUUAAAGUGGUACGCGAGCUGGGUUUAGAACGUCGUGAGACAGUUCGGUCCCUAUCUGCCGUGGGCGCUGGAGAAUUGAGGGGGGCUGCUCCUAGUACGAGAGGACCGGAGUGGACGCAUCACUGGUGUUCGGGUUGUCAUGCCAAUGGCACUGCCCGGUAGCUAAAUGCGGAAGAGAUAAGUGCUGAAAGCAUCUAAGCACGAAACUUGCCCCGAGAUGAGUUCUCCCUGAGACUUUAAGUCUCCUGAAGGAACGUUGAAGACGACGACGUUGAUAGGCCGGGUGUGUAAGCGCAGCGAUGCGUUGAGCUAACCGGUACUAAUGAACCGUGAGGCUUAACCUUACAACGCCGAAG
rnacentral:rRNA from 1 species